rnacentral:rRNA from 1 species
GAACGCUGGCGGUAGGCCUAACACAUGCAAGUCGAACGGUAGCACAGAGAGCUUGCUCUCGGGUGACGAGUGGCGGACGGGUGAGUAAUGUCUGGGAAACUGCCUGAUGGAGGGGGAUAACUACUGGAAACGGUAGCUAAUACCGCAUAACGUCGCAAGACCAAAGAGGGGGACCCUCGGGCCUCUUGCCAUCGGAUGUGCCCAGAUGGGAUUAGCUUGUUGGUGGGGUAACGGCUCACCAAGGCGACGAUCCCUAGCUGGUCUGAGAGGAUGACCAGCCACACUGGAACUGAGACACGGUCCAGACUCCUACGGGAGGCAGCAG